UUUACGGAGAGUUUGAUCCUGGCUCAGGAUGAACGCUGGCGGCGUGCUUAACACAUGCAAGUCGAACGGUGAACUAGGAGCUUGCUCUUGGGGAUCAGUGGCGAACGGGUGAGUAACACGUGAGCAACCUGCCCCUGACUCUGGGAUAAGCGCUGGAAACGGCGUCUAAUACUGGAUACGAACAGCGACCGCAUGGUCAGUUGUUGGAAAGAUUUAUUGGUUGGGGAUGGGCUCGCGGCCUAUCAGCUUGUUGGUGAGGUAAUGGCUCACCAAGGCGCGACGGGUAGCCGGCCUGAGAGGGUGACCGGCCACACUGGGACUGAGACACGGCCCAGACUCCUACGGGAGGCAGCAGUGGGGAAUAUUGCACAAUGGGCGCAAGCCUGAUGCAGCAACGCCGCGUGAGGGAUGACGGCCUUCGGGUUGUAAACCUCUUUUAGCAGGGAAGAAGCGAAAGUGACGGUACCUGCAGAAAAAAGCACCGGCUAACUACGUGCCAGCAGCCGCGGUAAUACGUAGGGUGCAAGCGUUAUCCGGAAUUAUUGGGCGUAAAGAGCUCGUAGGCGGUUUGUCGCGUCUGCUGUGAAAUCUGGGGGCUCAACCCCCAGCCUGCAGUGGGUACGGGCAGACUAGAGUGCGGUAGGGGAGAUUGGAAUUCCUGGUGUAGCGGUGGAAUGCGCAGAUAUCAGGAGGAACACCAAUGGCGAAGGCAGAUCUCUGGGCCGUAACUGACGCUGAGGAGCGAAAGGGUGGGGAGCAAACAGGCUUAGAUACCCUGGUAGUCCACCCCGUAAACGUUGGGAACUAGUUGUGGGGUCCAUUCCACGGAUUCCGUGACGCAGCUAACGCAUUAAGUUCCCCGCCUGGGGAGUACGGCCGCAAGGCUAAAACUCAAAGGAAUUGACGGGGACCCGCACAAGCGGCGGAGCAUGCGGAUUAAUUCGAUGCAACGCGAAGAACCUUACCAAGGCUUGACAUAUACGAGAACGGGCCAGAAAUGGUCAACUCUUUGGACACUCGUAAACAGGUGGUGCAUGGUUGUCGUCAGCUCGUGUCGUGAGAUGUUGGGUUAAGUCCCGCAACGAGCGCAACCCUCGUUCUAUGUUGCCAGCACGUAAUGGUGGGAACUCAUGGGAUACUGCCGGGGUCAACUCGGAGGAAGGUGGGGAUGACGUCAAAUCAUCAUGCCCCUUAUGUCUUGGGCUUCACGCAUGCUACAAUGGCCGGUACAAUGGGCUGCAAUACCGUGAGGUGGAGCGAAUCCCAAAAAGCCGGUCCCAGUUCGGAUUGAGGUCUGCAACUCGACCUCAUGAAGUCGGAGUCGCUAGUAAUCGCAGAUCAGCAACGCUGCGGUGAAUACGUUCCCGGGUCUGUACACACCGCCCGUCAAGUCAUGAAAGUCGGUAACACCUGAAGCCGGUGGCCUAACCCCUCGGGGAGGGAGCUGUCGAAGGUGGGAUUGGUAAUUAGGACUAAGUCGUAACAAGGUAGCCGUACCGGAAGGUGCGGCUGGAUCACCUCCUUU
rnacentral:rRNA from 1 species